GUGCUCAUUUGGGCAGCACAUAUGCUAAAAUUGGAGCAAUUCAGAGAAGAUUAGCAUGGCCCCUGUGCAAUGAUGACACGCAAAUUCAUAAAGCGUUCCAUAUUUUU